rnacentral:rRNA from 1 species
ACUCCUACGGGAGGCAGCAGUGGGGAAUAUUGGACAAUGGGCGCAAGCCUGAUCCAGCCAUGCCGCGUGAGUGAUGAAGGCCUUAGGGUUGUAAAGCUCUUUUGUCCGGGACGAUAAUGACGGUACCGGAAGAAUAAGCCCCGGCUAACUUCGUGCCAGCAGCCGCGGUAAUACGAAGGGGCGUAGCGUUGCUCGGAAUCACUGGGCGUAAAGGGCGCGUAGGCGGCCUUGUAAGUUGGGGUGGAAAGCCCGUGGCUCAACCACGGAAUUGCCUUCGAUACUGCUUGGCUUGAGUGUGGUAGAGGUUGGUGGAACUGCGAGUGUAGAGGUGAAAUUCGUAGAUAUUCGCAAGAACACCGGUGGCGAAGGCGGCCAACUGGACCAUCACUGACGCUGAGGCGCGAAAGCGUGGGGAGCAAACAGGAUUAGAUACCCUGGUAGCGACUGA